CUACGGGCCGCUCCAGUGAGGAAUAUUGCACAAUGGGGGGAACCCUGAUGCAGCAACGCCGCGUGGAGGAUGACGCAUUUCGGUGUGUAAACUCCUUUUAUAUGUCAAGAAAAUGACGGUAGCAUAUGAAUAAGCACCGGCUAACUCCGUGCCAGCAGCCGCGGUAAUACGGAGGGUGCAAGCGUUACUCGGAAUCACUGGGCGUAAAGGACGCGUAGGCGGGUUGGAAAGUCAGGUGUGAAAUCCUACAGCUUAACUGUAGAACUGCACUUGAAACUUCUAAUCUAGAGUAUGGGAGGGGGAGAUGGAAUUAGUGGUGUAGGGGUAAAAUCCGUAGAUAUCACUAGGAAUACCUAAAGCGAAGGCGAUCUCCUGGAACAUUACUGACGCUAAGGCGUGAAAGCGUGGGGAGCAAACAGGAUUAGAUACCCCUGUAGUC
rnacentral:rRNA from 1 species